CAGAACGCCACACCCAGGAGGUGUGUGGGUUAUAUUAGCAGAAGAAUUUUAAAGAUCUUCCCCAGAGGGUGGAUGAAAAGGCUUGAAGAGUGGGGAAUCAGCCUUGACAUGGUGUCAGUAGUGGGAUAGGAGAGAGGCGAAGCACUUGGAAAUGAAACGCUUGGAGGCGGAAGUGGAGGAGAGGAGACAGGAUAAGCGCUUGGGGGCAGAAAUGCAGGUGAAGCGCCUGGAGAUGGAAUUAGAGUUGAAGCGCUUAGAGCUGGAAAGGGCUAAGCUGGGUCCAACAGGUAACCCUAACAGUCCUUCUCCAGGUACCGCUCCCCAUUCCAAGAAAUGGGUAGGUGAUACAAGGUAGGUGAUGAUACAGAUGAUACAAAUUAGAAAAUUUUGAAAGGGCCUGACUUGGAUACAACCUCCCUCCAGACCAGUAUAUGGUGGAGCUGAAACCACAACUCAGUGGACCCUUAGCAGAGGUGGCAGCUUAAAUGCCUAAAGAACACAUGAACAGGUAUGAAUUUUUUUUAAAAAGGCCAGAAUUAAAAUGGGGCUAAUACCCGAACAUGCCCAAUGGUGGUUCAGAGCCCUAAGGUGAAAACCAGAGGUGACAUUUUCCCAACACACCUACCACAUUUGUAAAAUAUUGGGAUGCCUUGAUAUCAGGAGCAAAUGUUAAAUCUCUGGAAGAUCUGUCUCUCCUAAUGCAAACGGAGCAGUUCUUAGAGGGUGUUCCUGAGGAAAUAGAAAGGUACAUCCUAGAUAGCAAGCCCAAAAGUGUAAUCAAGGUGCGGGAGAGUGAAACCAAAUGGGUGGAGGGUGGAGAAGAAAAAAGAUAGUAACAGUUGGUGUGGAUACCAGAAGGGGCAACCCGAGAGGAUACCCCACCAUCAGGGUCAGCCCAAAGCCCCACCUCGCAAGGAGGAGCCCACCACACAGCCAGGGAGACCCCAGAUGCCCUCUCGUCCCACCACCCCACUCUCCAACCACCCACCUCACCCCAGCCCCCUGUCAGCUGGGCGAUGCUUUAAAUGUAAUGAGCUGGGGCAUGUGAAGACCAACUGCCCCAAGAGCAACAGCCAACUGCAACUCAUCACCCCAGAGUCCCACCAAGAGCCUUCA